GACGAACGCUGGCGGCGUGCUUAACACAUGCAAGUCGAACGGAAAGGCCCUGCUUUUGUGGGUUGCUCGAGUGGCGAACGGGUUAGUAACACGUGAGUAACCUGCCCUUGACUUUGGGAUAACUUCAGGAAACUCGGGCUCAUACCGGAUAGGAGCUCCUGCUGCAUGGUGGGGGUAUGAAAGUUUCGGCGGUUGGUGUUGGAGUCUACGCUUAUUUGCUUGUUGGUGGGGUAGUGGCUUACCAAGUAUUUGACGGGUAGCCUGCCUGAGAGGGUGACCGGCCUCAUUGGCACUGGGCUACGGCCCAGACUCCUCCCGGAGGCAGCGGUGGGGAAUUUUGCAGAAUGGCAGGAAGGCGGCUGCAGCACCGCCGCGUGCGGGAUGACGGCCUUCGGUUUGUAGACCGAUUUCGACUGUGACGAAGCGAGAGUGAAGGUAAUGGGUAAAGAAGCACCGGCUAACUACGUG
rnacentral:rRNA from 1 species